rnacentral:lncRNA from 1 species
CUCCAUUUAUGUAAUUAGUUUUGUAAUUAAACUAUAUUUAAUACUCCUAAUUAGUAUCUUAAAUAUCCGACGUGACACGUCUAAAGUUUAACCGCUGAACCAAACAGCGCAUUGACCGGCAACAGGAUCUUCUGACAUGGGUAGUAUACUGUUACAUUUGACAGUGUGUGCCUGACACCUUCGACCUUCCAACCACUUGUUUUCUAGCUGCUGUGUUGAACUGUUGAUGGCGAUGCAGCAGCCGGUUUGCACGCUGGGAAUGAUGGAGACGGCGUGCUGAUCACGCAGGCAUGCAGUGUAUGCUACUGUUUAGCAGGUCUUGUCUGUCUGCCUAGCUGAUGACAGUGUUUAAACAACAAGAGUUUCAUGAUAAGCUUGUUAAUGGUUUUGUGGCUGGUUUCAGUUUUUUGCGGUGUGCGAGUCACCAAACCAACCGCUGCAAGUGCAACCACCUCCGGGCAGUUAAGCUCACCAGUAGAUUGUAGUCAGUCCCUUUGCACGCGUCUUUUUCUGAGGGUUUUGCCUGUGUGCCAUUAUGAAAGUUGGUCUAACCUCCAUACCUCUAAAAAGUUCGUCGACACCUGUAUGCCCAAGUGCAUCUUGGUUUGUCCCUCCAUGCCAUUCCGUCCCUAUUUUGUGCUAACGGUCGUUAACUGCGCUGAGAAUGGACUCAAAUACCCUUAGACAAAGGAGGUCUGUUGAACUUAGAGGUCUGCCACCAGCGCCCGGACGCCAGCGAGCUGAUCGUGGCGGCCGCGUAGGAGACGGCGUCGGCUCCGGAAGCGUCAGGCUCGACGGAGUCGGGGAGUUGGACGUGGACGACCUCGCCCUGGCCAGGGCCAGCCGAGCCGGGCGCGUCGAACAGGGUCUCGAUGUCGUCCUCGAAGCGCCCGGCGUCCGGCAGCGGCAGGGCACGCAGCUGGUGAUGGUCGUCGUCGGGCAGCAAUCACAGUACUGAAACAAGGACAUGCGCAUACUGAACUCUCUGAACUUACUGUGAAGUUGAGUUUGCAGUCUGAGCCCCAGUACUUGAGCGCUGCAAGAUCGUAGGUGUGGGCUGCUGCCUCCUCACUGUCAAAAGCUCCUGCAAAGAAACAAGAUUAGGAUCUUAACUCAUGUAUUCCUAUGUUCUUGCAUUUGUAUGCAAGUGUCUGAUCGUUUUGUGCAAACGUUAUAUUUCUGAAUGAAGAGUAUACUUGGAGACAAGCACAAUGCACUCCUUUCAACUUUACCCAAAAGCACUUUUCCCCGUCCACACUCGAUCUCUCUUUUUGUUGAAAAGAAGGGAGAAAGCAGUUGCAGAUUCGAAAAUCGAAAUCAAUCCGAACAGCACAAUGCAGUUCAUUCGCAGAACAAUGCAGUUGCAAAUAAUUUGAGAAUCAUUGCAUGGAAAAGUCAGUGAGCUUUUUCUGGAUUUGAGAGGAUCUCCAACUCACCAAGAUAAACUGUUGGAAGCGAGCACAGCAGAUCAUCAGACAUGAAACAUCCGCACAUCACACGAAUGCCGAGGCAGCCGAGCACAAACCCAAACAAAAAAUUCAGAAGAAACAGAGAAGAAUGUCAGUGAAUUUUGCUACAGCGUGAGAACUCAAAUGAUCAAAUAAAUGGAGAGAAACCAGAGAAGAAACAAAAGAAUCGCAUUUGUUCAUCCGCUGGGCACAUAAAGGCUUCACCUUGCUUGCCCUUCUUGUUCUUGGCCGGACUCCGGGCAUGCCUGUCCCACAGGUGCGCCUCGAACUUCCCCGAGACCCGGUGCCUGCAUCGACGAACUACGCGGAGGUGGCCAUCUCGACGGACGGGAGCGUGAGCAGCUCCACCACGUGCCGCCGCCUCGUCUUGGUCGCGGCCUUCCCCCUGCCCGUCGGGGAGCGCUUCUUCCUGGCCGCUGCCGGCGGCGCGGGGGGCAGGGGCGACGAGGCGCUGAGCAGGCUCGGCGGGGAGAUGCGGGCGAUGGCGGAGAUGGGCACGGGGGUUGCGGCGGCGUCGAGCGACCGCACCCCGGCGCGGACGGAGAGGAGGGAGCCGACGGGGCACUCGCGCCAGCCGAGGUCCUCGAUGUCGCGCGUGGCCUCGUCCGCGGAGAGCGCGGCGGCCGCGGCCGGGGCGGCGCUCGGCGGCGGCGCGGUGGCGUUGAGGGGCACGGAGGAGAGUGAGAGAUGCCGGUCAAAAUUGGUCAACACGGUCUCCGCGCAUAUGCAGACUAAGGGUACAGUGAACAUUUUCGAUGCCCGGGGCCCGCUUGUAAGAGCUCUCAAACGGCCAAAACCGAACGGAAUAGGGACGGAAUGGCAUGGAGGGACAAACCAAGAUGCACUUGGGCAUACAGGUGUCG